rnacentral:rRNA from 1 species
UUCAACUUGAGAGUUUGAUCCUGGCUCAGAGCGAACGCUGGCGGCAGGCUUAACACAUGCAAGUCGAGCGGGCCCUUCGGGGU